GGUUGAUGUUCCAGGAGGGAUAAGCCAAAUGACAAAUGAUUUAGGUAAACUAGAAAAAUGGUCAGAAUUGUGGCAACUGACAUUUAAUGUGGAUAAGUGCAAGACAAUGCAUCUUGGACGUAAAAACCCAAGGGCAGAGUACAGAAUAUUUGAUAGAGUCCUAACCUCAACAUAUGAGGAAAGGGAUUUAGGGGUGAUUAUUUCUGAUGACUUAAAGGUAGGCAGACAAUGUAAUAGAGCAGCAG